AGAGAAUAGAUACCCUGGUAGUCCACGCCGUAAACGAUGGAUACUAGGUGUAGGAGGUAUCGACCCCUUCUGUGCCGGAGUUAAACACAAUAAGUAUCCCACCUGGGGAGUACGGCCGCAAGGUUGAAACUCAAAGGAAUUGACGGGGGCCCGCACAAGCAGUGGAGUAUGUGGUUUAAUUCGAAGCAACGCGAAGAACCUUACCAGGGCUUGACAUCCCUUGACGAUGGUAGAGAUAUCAUUUCCCUUCGGGGCAAGGAGACAGGUGGUGCAUGGUUGUCGUCAGCUCGUGUCGUGAGAUGUUGGGUUAAGUCCCGCAACGAGCGCAACCCUUAUCGUUAGUUGCCAGCACAUUAUGGUGGGCACUCUAGCGAGACUGCCGGUGACAAAUCGGAGGAAGGUGGGGACGACGUCAAAUCAUCAUGCCCCUUAUGUCCUGGGCUACACACGUACUACAAUGGCUAUUACAGCGCGAUGCAAGACCGUAAGGUGGAGCAAAACGUCAAAAAUAGU
rnacentral:rRNA from 1 species